rnacentral:rRNA from 1 species
CCUACGAGGGGCAGCAGUGGGGAAUAUUGGACAAUGGGGGGAACCCUGAUCCAGCCAUGCCGCGUGUGUGAAGAAGGCCCUCGGGUUGUAAAGCACUUUCAGUGAGGAAGAACGCCUGGUGGUUAAUACCCAUCAGGAAAGACAUCACUCACAGAAGAAGCACCGGCUAACUCCGUGCCAGCAGCCGCGGUAAUACGGAGGGUGCGAGCGUUAAUCGGAAUUACUGGGCGUAAAGCGCGCGUAGGUGGCUUGAUAAGCCGGUUGUGAAAGCCCCGGGCUCAACCUGGGAACGGCAUCCGGAACUGUCAAGCUAGAGUGCAGGAGAGGAAGGUAGAAUUCCCGGUGUAGCGGUGAAAUGCGUAGAGAUCGGGAGGAAUACCAGUGGCGAAGGCGGCCUUCUGGACUGACACUGACACUGAGGUGCGAAAGCGUGGGUAACAAACAGGAUUAGAUACCCCGGUAGUC